GGUCAAACGAAUUUACAGUUAGGUUAAAUGUCACUAAUUGUUUCCACCUUGUCUGAAUUCCUGUCAGGAUAAAACAUACGUUACUAGGACAACAUUUUCGCCAGUAGUCUGCCCAACAAUAGAUUGGAUCCUUGAACUUUCACCUGUAAACGAAAGUAGUCGAGAUUAAAAUAUGGAAAGCAACCCAUAUAAAACAUUACGCAUACCAGAGACAUAAAGGGUUCCUGUUUCACUGCCUGAGGAAGUUUGGACUAUCGAAUCUCGUACAUUAGGUCAGACUCCUCUGCUAGCUGUUCUCUCGACUUCACGGAAUUGGUUGUAGUCCUUGGUCUGGACACCUUCGAAGAUAUAAAUUGCAUGGUAUGGCUCCAGAUCCAAAGUUGAACGUAACAUCCACCAAAUGUGAAUUUAGGUAAGGAAAAGUACACUUUUGAUUCAUGUUCUUCUUAUUUAAUUGCCAGUCCAAAUUCUCUGUGGAAUUGAUGUCUUCAUCAACUGAAACUUUAACUUCUUUCGAUGGUGGAUGAUUCAUUUUUUCAAGCGUCUUAUGUUUACCAAGAGUCUAUAUAAAUGUGGUUUUUCACAUGGAGAUAAAAUAAAUAGUCAAGUUCGUGCAAUUUAUCUAAGUCUAACUCCGAAAUUUCCUCUCGAACAUCCUCAGAUUAAGACGUCCCUUGUUAUUUUAAUUUUUAUAAUUAUAAAACAUCCAUAAGCCGAUCUUUUAGAAUACAGGAAGGGAAUGCGUGCGAGAGGGUCUAUUUGCAGUAUAGCCGGGGGUAUUCUUGGAUCAGGGAACCCUGAAAUGAAUAUGGAGGGAUAUCUUCUUUUGGCGUACGCUCUUUUUACUAGAGUGCAAAUGGAUUUAUCAUAUUAAUAAAUUUUUCUAAUUUUACUAUGGAAGAAUCUCUAGCCAAUCUAUUAUUUUUGUACAAAAACUGCUAAAGACUCAUCUUUGGAGCAACCACUUUGAGUCAAGGAAUACUUUUAUCCUAGAUAUGUGAAAAAUGUUGUAUGGUGCGUGCCAAACUAUCUCUUCAGGAGAAGAAGGAAUUUUUAUGUAAUAAAAAUAAUAUUAAUUCAAGUCACGAAUAAUUGUAUAUAUUUUUGAAAUGGUAAUUCCAAACCAUUUUUU
rnacentral:lncRNA from 1 species